UAUGCCUGUUCGAGCGUCAUUACAACCCUCAAGCAUUGCUUGGUAUUAGAUGCAAUUAGCAAAUUCAUCCUAAAAUAAGUGGCGGUAGUACUUAGUUUCCAGUGUAGUAAACUUUCGCUGUGGAUACUAUUGUAUAGUUGCCAAUAACCCUCAUUUCAAAGGUUGACCUCGGAUCAGGUAGGGAUACCCGCUGAACUUAA
rnacentral:misc_RNA from 1 species